UGGGGAAUAUUGGACAAUGGGCGCAAGCCUGAUCCAGCCAUGCCGCGUGAGUGAAGAAGGCCUUAGGGUUGUAAAGCUCUUUCAGUCGUGACGAUGAUGACGGUAGCGACAGAAGAAGCCCCGGCUAACUCCGUGCCAGCAGCCGCGGUAAUACGAAGGGGGCUAGCGUUGUUCGGAAUUACUGGGCGUAAAGCGCACGUAGGCGGACUUUUAAGUCAGAUGUGAAAUCCCGAGGCUCAACCUCGGAACUGCAUUUGAAACUGGGAGUCUAGAGAUCAGGAGAGGUUAGCGGAAUACCGAGUGUAGAGGUGAAAUUCGUAGAUAUUCGGUGGAACACCAGUGGCGAAGGCGGCUAACUGGACUGAUACUGACGCUGAGGUGCGAAAGUGUGGGGAGCAAACAGGAUUAGAUACCCCCGUAGUCC
rnacentral:rRNA from 1 species